rnacentral:rRNA from 1 species
AUGCAUAGGUUUUGGAGGUGCCCGCAUGCAAUUGAGUUUUGGAGGUGCCUGCGUGAGGCUGUCGCUGCCCCGCUGCCAUGCCUUUCGGUGCAAGUUCAUGACCCUGCGGCCUUACGUGCAUGGCUCAUGGAUUGGCUUAGCUCCGCAGGGUCUGAAGAAAAGGAAAUUGUGAUUAGGAGUUGGUACGAGCUAUGGACUAUGAGGAAUGAAGCAAAGGAAACAUGCAGAAUGAAAGACCGGAAAGGUGUGACUACUCCCGGGUGUACUCACACCCAUUAUCUCAAUCAUCCAAUUUUUCCCUUCCGCAGAAUGAAAGACCCAGGAAGUAUAUGUGAACGAGUGCUUCGGCUUACUGCUGAAUGGAAGUCUGUGCGUGAGAAAAUACCUCAACAGAGAGAAAGAAACGCAUUGGAGCGAUGGAAAAAGCCAGCUGAAGGAUGGAUAAAAGCUAAUGCUGAUGGUGUUAUGGCAAAGCACCAAGAAUCAGGAGGGGGAGUUGCCGUCCUUAGGAACCACCAUAGCAAGUUCAUUGCGGGAGCAUGCCAUUUUUUCCCUUCCGCUCACGAUGCCGAGGUGGCGGAGCUGAUGGCGUGUCAACGGGCCCUUGUUCUAACCAAAGGAAUUAACGCCCGGACGGACUCCCAAUUGGUGGACUUGAUUUCACAAACAGAACCCAGUAGUGGAGAGCAACUAGGCCGCCAAAAGUUUAUUGGUGGUGGUGCUUCACCUUUAUCUCCCGGACGAGGUGGGAAGGCUUUGGCUCCAUCUACAGGAACAGAUAGAGGCGAUGAUAAUUUGGCUCCAGUGCUACCACUCAGACAUGAUUGCAAGGAAACAAAGGCAUAUGGCCCGCCAUGUCGUGACGUUCAUCCAAUUAUCCACAACUCCACAUCUAUAUCUAUAUCUAUAUCUAUAUCUAUACCUAUUGAACAUAUAAACCCUGAAGAACUCCUAGGCACAACGAAGCCAGCCACGUCGCCUUUAAAUCGCUUCGUGCCACCACUUGUAAAUUUUGUGCCCCGCCAAGGGCAUUUUAGUCUUUUUAUGUGUAGGGGUAUAAAUAGAAAACGCUGCCAUGGAGAAACCCUCGCCGCUGCCAGUCGCCUCCCCCUCAGCCGCCUCCUCUCCCCCACGCCGCCCUUCCUCUUCCCGCUCGUCUCCUCCUCUCCUCUUCCCUCUCCGACCAGGGCCAGAGCCUCGCCGGCCGCUCCCCCCAGCCAAUGUCCCUCUCCAGAUGCAUCCUCCCCGAGAUCCAGGUACGGAGAGAGUCAUGGUGGCAGGGGCAGAUGCGUGAGGAGGAGGAGGCCGUGGUCAUGGUGGCGCGACGAAGGUCGUGCCUUGCCCCCCGCCGCCUCUCUCGCGUCCCUCUUUUCCCUGCCCCUCCCCGGCGUCCUUGCCUUUGCCAUGGACUCCACCAUCCCUCUCCAUCUUCGGGGGUCGCUGCACGCCAUGAUUCCAGAUUGGUCGCAGGUCGAGAAGGAGCGGUUGCUGCAUGUUUGGGUUGCACUUGAUUCCUACACUGAGUUUCAGUGGUGGCAUGGUGUCCAUCUCCAGGCCGGUUGCAACCUUCUGCCCCCAUCAUUCCCUGCCGAUGACACGGGGAAGGAGCUACAGGGGAGGGGGAGGAGGCCGACGUCAGGGGGAAGGAGCAGGCCGAUGUUGGUAUUUUCAUCCAUAAAAAACCAUGAAGUUGUAUGUGCAUUUCCUGCUAUGCAUCUCUGCCGAUAUUUGAUUGAUGCACCUUUUUCUGUAUGCCCAGUUUUGCGCCCCGUGUGUUGUUCAGGUGUUGAGGGCCAUUUUCCUUAUGUAGGCUCGGAUGCAUGGUGCGAGGCAGUAAUAGCGGCAGUGGAUCGAGAGAAGUGGAGAAGAGGGUUCCUCCAAGCUCCAUCCAUGAAUGACGCCGUUGAAGAAUCAUCCCUCUACUGUCUUCUCGAAGGGUGGCAUGCGGCAAUGUCUGGGACCAGCGAGGAAGAUGACCGGUGUACAUCCUUUGGUAUAAAGUUGAAUUACAUACUUCCCUACUUCUCUUGGGUUAUGAGGGUGAUCUUAUAUGUGUUGCACUGGUCAGGACAUGGUGAGUCUUGUGGCGCGAAGCCAACAACACGCAGCGGCAAGUCGAGCACACUGGCCUGA